AUGGCCCUACGGGACGCAGCAGUGGGGAAUAUUGGGCAAUGGGCGCAAGCCUGACCCAGCAACGCCGCGUGAAGGAAGAAGGCUUUCGGGUUGUAAACUUCUUUUAUUCGGGACGAAGAAAGUGACGGUACCGAAUGAAUAAGCCACGGCUAACUACGUGCCAGCAGCCGCGGUAAUACGUAGGUGGCAAGCGUUAUCCGGAUUUAUUGGGUGUAAAGGGCGAGUAGGCGGGAAUGCAAGUCAGAUGUGAAAAAUCAGGGCUCAAACCUGAGCCUGCAUUUGAAA
rnacentral:rRNA from 1 species